rnacentral:lncRNA from 1 species
AAAAAUAAGAUCCAAAAAUAAUAACAACAACAUAAAACACAUAAAAUUUAAAUUAUACUUAUACCUCAAUCACAUUGUUGGCACAUUUCUCUCGGUCAACCUCAUCCAACCUCUUCACUCACAACAUCUUUUCCCACUUCUUCUACAACUUCCUUUCUAGAUCCCCCUCCUUCUGAACCUCCUGCAAUAUCUUCUCUCGUUCCUUCUACAAUGUCCUCCCUCGCUCCCGUUCUC